rnacentral:rRNA from 1 species
CCGAAAGGCAGGAGUGCCUGCAAGGGAGCGCGGAGACAGGUGGUGCAUGGCUGUCGUCAGCUCGUGUCGUGAGAUGUUGGGUUAAGUCCCGCAACGAGCGCAACCCUCACCUCUUGUUGCCAUCAGGUCAUGCUGGGCACUCUAGAGGAACUGACCCGGUCAACGGGGAGGAAGGCGGGGAUGACGUCAAGUCAUCAUGCCCCUUACGUCCUGGGCUACACACGUGCUACAAUGGCCGGUACAAAGGGAUGCCACACCGCGAGGUAGAGCUAAACCCAAAAAGCCGGUCUAAGUUCGGAUUGGAGUCUGCAACUCGACUCCAUGAAGGAGGAAUCGCUAGUAAUCGCGUAUCAGCACGACGCGGUGAAUACGUUCCCGGGCCUUGUACACACCGCCCGUCACACCACGAAAGCCAG